rnacentral:rRNA from 1 species
UAAUACGUAGGGGGCUAGCGUUGUCCGGAUUUAUUGGGCGUAAAGAGCGUGUAGGCGGCCAGAUAGGUCUGCUGUGAAAACUCGAGGCUCAACCUCGAGCUGUCGGCGGAAACCAUCCGGCUAGAGUCCGGAAGAGGAGAGUGGAAUUCCCGGUGUAGCGGUGAAAUGCGCAGAUAUCGGGAAGAACACCUGUGGCGAAGGCGG